rnacentral:lncRNA from 1 species
CGCGCCACGAGGUUUCAAAACUUUAAUGUUUGAAAUAACGUGAAAGUAACGCAUGCGUAUAACAUUCCAAAAAAUACUUCAAAAUGAAAUGUUAGAAUGAACGACAAUAAAUACCACUAACCGAUACUUUCGUUCGAUAACCUUAAUACACUGACUGUUAUAAUAUAACUGUUGGCAUAAUUUUGAUAUCAUUUAUUAUACUAUCAAUUUUUUUGCAUUCCAAUCAAAAUUUCACGACAAAAUUUCACAGCUUUUAACAGAAAGAAGUUUUUGUUGCACUAAAAUAAAUACUUUUAUUGCACUAAAAGUAAAUGGUUUAUUGCAAUAAAACCUGAAAAGAUGAAUUUCGAUUUAAAUCUUACUAAAGUUUUUAAGACUAUAUUUUAUGCAUUAAAUUGGUUUUAACUAUGACAUAGUUAUAACCGAUUUUUAUCCUUAAAUAAUAUUUUGUUGCAGUGUCCUCAAAGAUAAGUCUAUUUUCAGACCAAUUUGAUUUAAUAUUUUCCGAUAUGGUCUUAGAAGAUGAGAUGGUAGUGGCUCUUCCUAAUCCGUGUGAAAUUGUUGUCAAGGCUAUUGAAUCACACCUACCAUUGCAAAGAAACAUACGAACCUACAUUUAUGGAAAUGUUGAAUUCAAUUCCAGUUAAUAACCAAGAAUGUUUGGGGGAUGAUCCUUGUAGAAGCAAUUGUUCAUCUCCUUUUCCGUCUUCACUCUCUCUAGAAAUUGGAGUAAAGUUACCUAUCUUUACAAUGGAAUGCAGCAAAUAUUUAACUGGUUUGGCGCCUUGCCGUAAGCAUACUUUAAAAGACAUUUGUAGUGAAUUGGCACAUCAUCUCGAAGGGUGUCUUCCUGAGGGAAACCAUUCAAAAAGAAAAAAGUUCUAUCAUUGUGUAACUGUCCUUUUGAAACAGUCAUAUCCAAACUGUACUUUUGGAAAACUGUACUUUUAGGUGCAGGUGGAAUUGUAAAGCGUGUUUCGAUUGUAAUUCGGAAGCGACGCGAGCGUUGUUUAAAAAGUUUGAUUGAGGAAAAAUGCUAACAGAAUGCUAAACAUCUCUGAGAAAAAUGCUAACAGAAUGCUAAACAUCUCUGGAAUAAACGAUAGCUCAUUUGAUGAAGAUAUACUGAUCAUGGACGAAUUUGAAAGAAUGAGCAUAGUUACUAAAGAAGCAGCAUUAGAUAGGCUAUUGCAAGUUGUUUAAAAGUUGUAUCCCGGUUUAGAUAUUGCACCUGCCCUAAUACAAUUUCAUAAGCACACUACCAGAAGAGGAGUGUUGUGUCCAAUUGUUAUUGCUAGUCCUGAAGAUAAUACCUCUUCUCCUGGGCCGCAACUUAUUUUAGGAGAAAACAUAACAUUUGUUGACAAAGGGAAAGUAAUUGCGAUGGGUCAUCGGCAUAAUGAUUCCCUACACAUGCUUCAACUUAUCGCCUAUUAUUAUAUUAUGGACCUGUCGUACCCAAGAUCGUUUGGGGUAGUUUUAGGGCUGUUGCAGCAUUAUGUCUUGCAAAUACCAUUUGCUUCUACUAAUAAGCUUUGGCUAAAAAUAUGCAAAUUUUUGUAAAAGUUUUUAUGGUAUCUUUGUAUUUUGAGACUGUUCAGCUCUUCGCUAUAAACUGUUCAACUCUUUGCUUCGAAUAAAAACAUAAAGGCAAUUUAAAACUAAAUAUUUAUAUUUGAUGGUUUCUUUUUAAAAAAAUAAAAUAUGAUUUUUAUUA